AAGCAGAGGGAUUUUGAAAAUUAGUUUAUAUAAGAGCUGACUCACUGGCAAAGACCCUGAUGCUGGCAGACUGAGGGCAGGAGGAGAAAGGGAUGACAGAGGAUGAGAUGGUUGGAUGGUAUCACUGAUUCAAUGGACAUGAGCUUGAGCAAACUCUGGGAGAUAGUGAACAGGGAAGCCUGGCGUGUGGCAGUCCACAGGGUCACGAAGAAUUGGACACAACUAAGCAUGCUCUGACUUCCUUCAGGACUUCUCAUUUCCUGGAUUUCAUGGAACUUUGUAAAGUCCUUCUCUCUCCAGAAGUUGCUGAUCAGACAAUCAGAGUUGUGAUGAUUCUACUGAUAAUUCUCAGCCCACCAGGCUCCUCUGUCCAUGGGAUUCUCAAGGCAAGAAUACUGGAGUGGAUUGCUGUGCCUUCCUCCAGGAGAUCUUCCUGACCCAUCCAUCGAAACUUCAUCCCUUAAUGUCUCCUGAAUUGGCAGUGACUAACAUCCUGGGCAGAGGAAAACAGAUGCAAUGAACUCUCAGUAGGAUCAGUUUCUUCAUGCCAACACAAGAGGUAAAAUACACUCAGCUUUUAUUAACUGUUGUUUCAUUGCUAAGUCAAGUCUAACUCUUUUGUGACCCCCUGGACUGGAUGUAGCCCACCAGGCUCCUCUGUCCAUGGGACUAUCCAGGUAAGAAUACUGGAGUGGGUAGCCCUGUCCUCCUCCAGGGGAUCUUUCCGACCCAGGGAUAGAACCCUUGUCUCCUGCUUGGCAGGUAGAUUCUUUACCACUGAGGCACCUGGGAGGCCCCAGAUUUUAUGAGUAAAUAACAUCAAAGUGAAGGGAAAGUUGCUCAGUCAUGUCUGACUCUUUGCAACCCCACGGUCUAUACAGUCCAUGGAAUUCUCCAGGCCAGAACACUGGAGUGGGUACGUUUUCCCUUCUCCAGGGGAUCUUCCCAACCCAGGGAUCGAACCCAGGUCUCCUGCAUUGCAGGCGGAUUCUUUACCAGCUGAACCACAAGGGAAGCCCAAAAAUACUGGAGUGGGUACCCUAUCCCUUCUUCAGGAGAUCUUCCUGACCCAGGAAUCGAGCCAGGGUCUCCUGCAUUGCAGGUGGAUUCUUUACCAACUGAGUUA